GACGUAACGCUCGGCGGGCGGUGCCUAAUACAGUGCAAGUAGAACGCCGAAGUCGUGGUGCUUAGGCACUAGACGGAUGAGUUGCGAACGGGUGAGUAACGCGUAGGUAACCUGCCUCAUAGCGGGGGAUAACUAUUGGAAACGAUAGCUAAUACCGCAUAACAGUAUUUACCGCAUGGUAGAUGCUUGAAAGGAGCAAUUGCUUCACUAUGAGAUGGACCUGCGUUGUAUUAGCUAGUUGGUGAGGUAACGGCUCACCAAGGCAUCGGUACAUAGCCGACCUGAGAGGGUGAUCGGCCACACUGGGACUGAGACACGGCCCAG
rnacentral:rRNA from 1 species